UACGUAGGGACCAAGCGUUGUUCGGAUUUACUGGGCGUAAAGGGCGCGUAGGCGGCAAUUCAAGUCAUCUGUGAAAUCUCCGGGCUUAACCCGGAACGGUCAGGUGAUACUGUUUUGCUAGAGUGCGGAAGGGGCAAUCGGAAUUCUCGGUGUAGCGGUGAAAUUCGUAGAUAUCGGGAGGAACACCGGUGGCGAAGGCGGCGAUCUGGGUAGAUACUGACGCUGAGGUGCGAAAGCGUGGGGAGCAAACAGG
rnacentral:rRNA from 1 species